rnacentral:pre_miRNA from 1 species
AGUCUUCAAUUCCUCCCAGCCCAUUAAAUGGAAACUGAGUUGAGGCGAGUUGAAGACUAA